rnacentral:lncRNA from 1 species
UCUAGAUUUAGGUCUUUAAUCUUCAACCCUUUCACCUAUAAAAAAGAGUUGGUCGAACCUCUCUCACUCUCCUACUCUUCAUGCACCUCCAAGGCUACCACAACUCCUAGGAGAGCCUUGAUCCACCUACAACCCAUUGAAGCUUCCGCAAACCACCACAAAAACCGUAAAAGAGAAGAGCUCAAUGCCAUCACAACUUGUGUUAGCUGAGAUUAGAGGAUGUUCAGUUCCUUCAUCAAUUAUUUAGGGUCAUAAAUAACAAGAGUAUAGCAGUUUUUGAAGCAGAGAAGUACUAACAUACCAGCUUUACAAAUUAAUAAGCUUACAAAUAGGUAAGUAAGACAUGUAUUAACUUGUAGUAAAGAUCAUUUAAGUCUUCCAUAAACUAAUAAUUUUAACAAUCAAUACACUGUGUCUAAAUUGAUUUCUCAAAUCAUUAGUGUGAUUAUACUGUGUAGUUCACCACUAUUGGCAACAUAACCCUGUAGCAUCUGCAAUUCACUGUAGGGUUGUUCUUAGCCAUGAUGGGUAGAUAUGUGCCUUAUCUUCCUGUUGUGCAAGGUACAUGACACAUGUCCUAACAUGAAACAUAGCUUAUUACUUAUUCAUUCUCUUCAAGUACACAGUGAACCUUUUAUCAGACUGAUGUCACUUCACUUCGAGAAAAGAAGAGACCAGAAGGACCUCCAUUAGGUAGCAGAGCCAACCUUACAACACUUUCAGCACCUUCUUCAAUACUAAAAUAGCCAAUAUUGAAGUUUAAAUCUGUUUUCACAAAGCCAGGGCAAACAGCAUUGAUGCAGAAAGAUGGGUACUUCUUGGCAAGGACUCUUGUGUAGGCAGUCAAAGCAGCUUUUGAGACUAUAUAUGCAGAAAGCACAUCUGGCCACCCAUUGGUUUGUAAUGAACCCUCUUUAAAACCAUUUAGAAAC